UCAUUUGGGCCUAACUCGGGCAGGCAGCUGUCGUAAAGCUCACACGUGGCAGUGGGGCCCAGGCAGCUUUUGGUGGAAAGAUUUAUCGUAACAAUUUACAAUUUACAUACUUUAAGAAUAUUCUAUUUUUUUUAAUGAAAACACAAAGGUUAAAGUUUUGAAGUUUUAUCCAUGGCCAAAUCUUUAAUGGGUUUGGUGAUUAUUAUGUUUGAUAUAAUCUGUAACUAUAUUUGUUCACAUUCUUGUUGUGGAAUAUUAUUUUAACUAGGCAAAGAUUUGUUACAUUUAUUUAUGUUGUAGAAUAUUACUUUGGCUGUGUAAUGGUGUGUUACAUUUGUUCAUGCAGUCUUUGUUAAUGAUGUGAAGAUAUGUUGUAUUUGUUUAUGCUGCAUAUGUUUAAAUAUGGAAAGAUGUGUUGCUGUUUACCUUGCCUGACAAAGGCACCUAACUGGUAUAAUAAAAAGUUGAAAAGAGGGGAAGGCAAGGAUGGCAGGCAGAGAGAAUAAGUAAGAGAAAUGUAGACUUGAGAGAGAGAAGGAGGAGCGAGUGAGGGAGAAAGAAAGUGACAUACCCAGAGCCAGAAACCAGGCAGCCACCAGCUGGACAUGGAGGCAGCAGGAAAGUAAGAUAUACAGAAAGAAAGGUAAGAAGCCCUGAGGCAAAUCAUAUGUAAAGAGAAAUAGAUUAAAACAAGAGCUAAAUUAAAGCACAAUUUCUCUUGACUUUUCAUAGCUGUUCAAUAAAGACAACCGACUCUUCUAUGCUUUAACUUAGGAGUUACUCAUGGGUACAUACCAUGCUGUGGUAGAUUUUACAAUAGCUUUAUCUCUUCAGAAGUGCUCACUCAACAGACCUUGACAAACUCACUUGAAGGACCUGAUGACAGAGAUGGAGGCCAGUACCGUGAUCGACAGAGUCACGGUGAGUUUGGCAGGAAAACACAGGCAUUGUUUCUCCAUAUCCCACUCUUUCAAAAGAAAGAGGGAGAGACUAGUGAAAUGACUUCAUGAUUCAUCCUGCACUUGAAGGAAAAGGAAGGAUUACCAGCUGGAUCUGCCAUCAUUAGAAUACAGAAGACAUUACUAUACUUAAACAGACUCACCCAUUCUGGUGCACACAGUAACUCUUUAACUCAAUAACUGGUCUUCAAAUGCCAGAUCCAGGAGUCUACAGUUCUUCCAAGUUGGUCUAACCUGUUCUGCUAGUCAGCUUUCUGUGUGACAAAUGGCCUCAGAAAACUCUGUUAAGAUGAGCAAGGAUUUAUCUUUACUUCUGAGGUUUCAGAGCACGAUCAUUUGACUGCAUCAUUUUGGGCUUGUGGGGCCGAAGAACAUGAUUGGGGCACUUAGUGGAGCAAAGCUGAUCAUCUCAAGACAGCAAGAAAUAAAAAUACAUAGAGGAAGGAGUCAAGGACAAAGUAUACCUGACAAAGGCAUAGUUCCAUUGCUCUUCCAACUAGCCCUUAUGAACUAUCCACCACCUACCAAUAGCCCACUAAGCUGUUAACUCAUCAGCAGAUUGAUUCAUUGGUGAAGUUAGACACCAUGGGACCAACUGAUCUUGCAAAAGUGCCCGCCCCUAUGGUUACUGCUGACUUUGGGAUGAAGCCUGUAGCAUGCUGCCACAUGGUUCGUGACUUGUCACCUCAUCUCCUAUAUGUCAUGCUUCUCUCCUGUCUCCUUGAGACUCCACCCUUCUUCUUUACAGCAUCCUGUGUGCCUGGAAAACCUGCCUAGCUAUUGGCCACUCAGCAUUUUAUUAAACCAAACAGAGUGACACAUCUUCACAAUGAACAAAAAGACUAUUCCAUUAAAAUUAUAUUAUGUUACUCAGGAACUCUGUUACCAGAAGGGGGAAUAAAAGAAGACUCAGGUUUCUAAA